rfam:Helianthus annuus linkage group 13, whole genome shotgun sequence.
AUGACUGAUGAACACUGAAGAACCUAUAUGAAGAAGGCUCAACUCUGGACAGGCGGUGGAAACUACCAAGCUGGAGUACGGUAGGGAAUUUCCGGUUGAAAGGUGAAAUGCUUAGAGAGCGGAAAGAACACCAACGGCAAAAACACUCUGAUGGGCCGACAAUGAGAGACGAAAGCUAGGGAAGCGAAUGGGUUAGAUACCCCAGUGGUCCUAGCCGUAAACGAUAGAUGUGUGAGUGAUCAGCCAUUCAACCUGAUAUAAGUCUU